GGGAAUAGUCUACUCAGUAGCGCAUCAGCUGUCAUCCAGGGUGGGAGUGUUAACUUCUGGUUGUGUCCAUUGUUGUCUGAGGAUAACUCCAUAUAUACUAAGAGGUGUACGUUUGUUGUAUAUACACGAAGUUUACAUUUAUCCCUGUUUUAUGGAUUAAAUAAUUCUUGGCUAACCAGAUGCUGCCGAUUUUAGGCUGUGGAGAGUUGAUUGGCUCAGAUAGUUUGGCAGCUUGUGCUUGUGGCUCAAGUGGUAGUUACGCCUUCAGCUCACCUGAUGGACUUGACCCAACUAGUUUACUAUCUUCUAUCAAAUGAUACCAAGAAACAGCCAAUAAAGCAAAAAUCCUCAACAAUACUUCCCCCCAAAAUUCUCUAGAAUAUUGUAAAGAAUUUGAAAAAAGGAUAAAACUGAAAAGAAAAUUGAUACUGAAAUUUUGCAUUAAGCUUCAUGAGGUUAACAAACCUUUAGGUAUCUUGUAUACUUUUAUUCCAGAGCCUGUCAAAUACUCAUGAACAUUAUUCUUUUCUCCCUCCCAAGGUUUUCAUUUAUUACUUAACUGUAGGAAAAGAUUUACUAUUUAUAUGUGCAAAAGACCUUAGAUUAGUAGUGUCCCAUUCCCAAUUCUGAUUUCCAUAUACGUACGUAAUACUUUAAUUGCUCCUUAAAUGAAUGGCUUCAGUAUUAUAAUGGCUGAUGCAUCUUGUGGGGAAAGGAUGAAGCAUUUUGGGUUUAUGCUAUGUAAGGGCAAAUGUUUUAGUAAAAGUUAAAUUUAUAAUUGUUGGAUUUUGUGCAACAAUUGGAGAAUGCUUUUCAAACUUUGUACUAUGUUUUCUGCCUCAAAGGAGUCUUUGCAUUGCAUUUAGGUUGUGUAUGUUUGAAUUUGCAAGCAUUUUUUUUUUUAAUAAAGUGGGUUCUGUUU